UGUGGGAAUUACCAGCUCCUGUAGAGAGUUAUGGGAGAUAAGUGGGAAUUGGGCUCAUCUGAGCUGGCUUUAUAAACCUGAAGGCUUGGGACAGUCCUGUUUCCUGCUGGCAACUUCCAUGACUUACAGCAGCAUCUCAUUUCAAUGGUCAGUGGAAGGAUCACCUCUCUUUUUCCAGGCUACCUAGGCUAUCUUAGGGCUCCAUAAAUGCCAGACAGUAGCAGGAGACUGAGAUCACAGAAGGCAUAUAAAGCCUAAAUUCUUCUGUGGUUGAGGAAGGUAGGACCCCAAACGCAUUUAGGAGUGUUGUAACUCCAGCUGAUCUGCCAUGAACCACUUUAUUUCCAUAGGGUUCAGAGAAUUCCUGCCAUGUGACUGCUCAUUACUUCCGUGAGCCAGCACAGAGUUAAUUAGUGGCAUGUGGAUCUUCCAGCCAACUUCUAGACCUGCCUAGGAGUGCACAGCAGAACUGUACAAGAUGGGGCCAAGCUGAGCUGAUGAGACCCAUAGUUUGUUCAGGAUCAGGAAAAACAUCUGACUCCUUGAGAGCCAUUCCCCUGGUGAAUAUGGAACAACACAAGCAAAAGAUCUUGUGUUAUUCUGUGGCUGGCACCAGGAUUACUCUCUUGGAUGUAAUACCCAGGAUGUGGAGACAUGAGAAAGCUGUUCAACCAUGUAUUGGUUUGGCAGGUCACUGUGCUUCUCAGGAAUGCAAAUAAGAGAAAGCCUUAGCAAGUGGAAAGCAUGGUAUGAUGCUUGUCAUGAGGAAUCUUCCCAAACUAGUGCCAUUGUUACGCAGCAGUCUGUCCUUCUCAGUCCAAGCACAGUCAUGGCUUGGAGAAGCUGCUUUCCAGGCUUCAGACUGUGAGCAGAGCUCAUCUGACUCCUCCAUGGGAAACAAACACACUGCAGAGCUGGAUGUUGUUUUACAGGAGAGGUGCCCCACAUCUGGUACAACCUCAUGGACACCAAGUUUAAUAAAUCAAGAGCAGGAUCAAGACAAUCAUCCAGAUGCUGUAUUGGGUGGGACUGUCAGCUGGGAUAAUUUUGGAUCCAGAAGCAGGUUCAUGUCCCAGCAAACAAAAGAGGUAUGGGUUUAGUUGGAGUUAAAGACAGCUUGAAUAUCUGUCGCCUGCUCCCUCAGUGGAAUGUUUUGGUGUUAGAAGCUAUCUAGAAGAGGGUGAGAAUAUUGUCCACCUUUGCAUUUUGUGUAAUAAAAUGAUCCCUGGUCAGCUGCCCGGUCAGUUAAGAAUAAUGCAUCCACCACUUUGCAUGAUUAAUCAGAUGUCAGGAUGUAUGCUCUCUCCCAGCAUAUCAUCCCAUGGCAGCCAGCAGCGCGUUUACAAAUGUAGAAAGAAAGAAAAAAAAAGCAAUAAUAGGAAAAAGAAUUAUUUUUAUGUGUACUUGUCUGAAGACAUAUUUUUCCAUUCAGUAAUUUGAAAAAAAAUAACCAUCUGGAAAAAAUCAUAUUACGGACAAGGCAUGUCAUGACAUUUACAGCAAAUAUUUUUGCUGCUAGUAUCAAAACCAGCCCUUUGCUCUAUCAAGGGCUGAAUAUUCGUAUACACAUAAAUGUUCAGUAAAUAAAAGGGCCUCUGUAGAAACUCCUUGCUGGGCAAUCCUGCGCUCCCAGAGUUCACAUUCUCAUUUGUUUAUACUUUUUUCAAACCCCUAUUUUUUGCAUCUCAGAUGUAAGUGCCUGUAGUUCCUUUCCUUUGCCCUUUUGGUCUCAGGAGGAUGACAAUAAAAGGCACUUCUGUGGAAAAAGUCCUGAUGUAAGUAAAGGUAUCAGGAGGUUAUGAGGUCAUGAGCAUAAAUGAGGCAAAGUUUCCAAAGAAAUUAUCAAGAAAAUUUAUAAUCGUAGGCAGUCUUGUUGAGCCAGAAGAAGAAAUUAAAUGUGUGCAUCGUGUGCCAGGUUUUGAGAGGGAGCAGAGAAAGAAACCAAACAGCUCCUGUCAUCUUCUAGAUUGGUUGGAGCCUCCUAAGUAUGUUGUUGGUCCCUGCAAGCUGCACUGUGGCAGCAGUGCUUGCGGUUGAAUGACAACUCCCCUCUCUGUGGCACUCCUCCUACUGAGGUAGAAGAGCCUUUAUUAAAACUCAGCACUCUUUUUGAGUCUAGAGGCUAAUGUAUGGGUUACAUGAGGUGUACAUCUUGCACAGGGUCUUUUUCACAUAGGCAGGGUGCCCCCAGUUUGGGUUAUCUGCAGUCUGUGCAUCCUACAGGAUGUUUUCUCCUUUGGGGUAUCUGGAGCACAUUCCUGGGAUGCUGCAGGGUCCAGUAUCCGUACAGGUAUCUGCAUUCCUCUCCAAAGCAGCAGCUCUGAGGAUACUGUUUCAGUAAAGAUCAUGCCUUGAAAAGGUGAGAUGUCAGCAUCUACAUUGGGGUGGCAGAAAGAAGGAAAUUACGGCUUUGGUUUACAGAGCAGUAAGCAGUGGUGACAUUGGCAGCCAGAUGUUCCCAGGGUGUGGGUGUUUGGAUGCACAGGUUUCCCUGUGGCCAGCCUCUGUCUGUUGAGAGGUUAUGGGCUGUAACGUUCAUACUGCUUGUAACAUCCAAUUACCAUAUGCACUAUAAACUCAUAUAUAUCGUGGGCUUUGAAUGUUCCUUUAAAAAUAUAAUUUAAUAUAUUAAACUAUAGAAACUGUCAGGUAGUACUGAUACUUAUAUUUCUUUAUCGUAUGUAUUAUCAUACCUUUAAAAUCUAAAAGGUUCUAGGAAUUCUCCCUGUUUUGCAUGGAUUCUGAACAUAACCUACUAUUUUACUCAAGCAGGCACUUUGCAACUGUUACAGUUAAUUUUAAAUAUAUUUUCCUCUUAGCAUCUUAUGAGCACUGCCUCCCAAGGUGCCUCCACAAAUGAUGGAGGUAGCAGACAAGCAGUUGUUCUGUUUAGCCUCCUUGAAAUGGUAACGUGGUAAUUCUUAAUCGCAGCAUGUGACUCCUUUGACAUAAAGGAAAAGUGCUUCCUUCUCUGGGAGGAGGGGCAGUGGAAAUGAAUCUUCUUAACAAAAAUCAAUACCCCAAAAUUUGAAAUCAGUUGAUGCAACUGAGUUCAACUUGCUUAUUAACAGACCUGACCAAUCAGUUCCAUGUGCUCCCUGUUGCUAAGUUGCCUCUAUAAACAAAUUGAUUAAUUGAUUUAUAUUUUUCCCCCCAAGGCCUUUUAGUGUAUAAGCAGGUCAGGCAGCUAUGAUUUCAUUCUGCUCAUCUGCUCAGCACUGGCUUUGUAAAUCAGGUUGGAAUCCCAGUUCUUCAUCUCAAAGAUCAGCAGUGUCAUCUGAAAACUCAGAGAGAGAGGUGGAUUCAUGGAGAAACUUCAGCUCUCUGAGAAGAUGGGGAAAGAGUGGGACUGGAUUUCAGUGUGGGAGUGGAAACUAUCCACCA